GUGUGUAUUUUGGGUUGAAUAAUUAGCGUUUCAUUUUCUUUCAGUUGUCAAUACUUAAGUUACGACCGGGUGUAUAAAAAUGAGCGCUGAACAAUCCACCGGCAAAUAUCCCCUUUUAAAUACUAUUACUAUUAAAGGACGAAGAAAUGUUGUUUUGGCUGUACUUGGUUUUUACGCUGGCCUUUUUGGUUUUAUCAAAUACUCUCGAUCCUCCAAGUCUGAAAAACUAGAAAAAAAUGUUUAGUUAUUAAUCUUCAUGUGAUUCCUCUUUUUAAUAAACAUUUAUUUUGUACA